rnacentral:tRNA from 1 species
GGCCCUGUAGUUCAGCUGUAUAGAACGUCAGAUUCCGGUUCUGAAGGUCGUGGGUUAGAAUCCCGCCAGGGUCA